ACACUAAUAGGGGGUGUUUGCUCUUCAAUAUUAAAAUUGAAAAAAAACUGGUUCUAUUUGAUUUCCGCUUCUCAACGUGACAAGAUGAUACAUAUAUCAGCACUUUCGGGAAAUAUGACCCCACGCUAUGAUAGACGCCCCAUUCUGACAUUUUAUAUCUGGAAAUGAAAAGUCCAUGGACCAAUGCUGCUGAAAAGUCUAUGGACCAAUGCUGCUGAAAAGUCUAUGUAUGUCCAUGGCCCAAUGAACCAAUUUUUUGUUCAUAAGCUACACGAAAAUUAAUGAUCAACUUUUGAAGAUCGAACUUUGAAUAAUUUUUAAAAAGAUGUGAUUCGAUUUUCUUAUUAUUGAAUUUCCUGCUUUGCCGGAUAUUUAUUUAUUCAAUGGCAAUUAAUAAACAGAUAACAAAAAUGUUGAUGGUACCAAGAUGCUGAAAUAGUUCUGGUCAGAACAUACUCGUCAGCUUCAGUGAGGAAAUGAUCAGCAUUUUGGGAGAUUCUGUUCGAUGCCAAAACAGAAAAAGGACAUAAGAGUGUGAUAUGUUCCGACCCAAAGACGACAUUAAUAUUAUUUUUACUAUUUUA